rnacentral:rRNA from 1 species
AUUGAACGCUGGCGGCAGGCCUAACACAUGCAAGUCGAACGGUAGCACAGAGAGCUUGCUCUCGGGUGACGAGUGGCGGACGGGUGAGUAAUGUCUGGGGAAUUGCCCGAUGGAGGAGGAUAACUACUGGAAACGGUAGCUAAUACCGCAUAACGUCGCAAGACCAAAGUGGGGGACCUUCGGGCCUCACACCAUCGGAUGUGCCCAGAUGGGAUUAGCUAGUAGGUGGGGUAAUGGCUCACCUAGGCGACGAUCCCUAGCUGGUCUGAGAGGAUGACCAGCCACACUGGAACUGCGACACGGUCCAGACUCCUACGGGAGGCAGCAGUGGGGAAUAUUGCACAAUGGGCGCAAGCCUGAUGCAGCCAUGCCGCGUGUAUGAAGAAGGCCUUCGGGUUGUAAAGUACUUUCAGCGGGGAGGAAGGCGGUGAAGUUAAUAGCUUCACCGAUUGACGUUACCCGCAGAAGAAGCACCGGCUAACUCCGUGCCAGCCGCCGCCGUAA